rnacentral:lncRNA from 1 species
GUGCAUAUUCAAGGUAAUAUCUAUGACUCACUUGAGAUAGGUAUGUUUUUUCCACCUCUCAUAUCAUUUGAACAUGUGACUUUUUCUAUUAAGCCACCUUUUAAUGAUCCACUACGACAAAAAUUGGUGGAUUAUUCAUUAACAAAACCUUCUUGAGAAAUGAGGUGAAAAAGUCGAGCCAAUGACUAUAAACAAAAGGGCUUAUUGGGAGGCAACUCAAUGUUUUGGCUAUUUUAUUUUGGUGUGAUUUCAUGUGUUAAAUUAUGUAUUGAGUUAUUUUGUUAUUUUUCAUUUGUUUCUCAUUUUCCAUCUUUAGGUUAAUAUUACUAAUGGUUAUCAAAUGGAACGCAUGAAGCAUUGGAAAUAAGUAGACAAUGGUUCGUGAAUUUCAUGCUUUGACAUUUCGAUCGCAACAAUAGAGGAGUAUUACUUUUCUUUAUCUUGAUUUUCUUUUUUACACAUUGAGGACAAUGUGCAUGUUAAGUGUGGGGGGAAGGAUUGAGAUUAUAUACAUUGUAUGUGAUUGACUUGUUGGUUGCAAAUAUUGGACUUGUGUUUAAAUUCAAAUUUUUUUCAAAAUCUUGUCCAAAUUUGCGAAUUUGCCCCAAAUAGUUUCAAAUUUUUUCAAUUUUAUCCAAAAGGGUAACAAGUUUUAUAUCAUUAGUAGUUCAAAUUCCUUUUACAUUUGAGAUAAAUAUAUGUGAUUUGGAAACUUCUUUUCUCAUUUAAUUUGAAAAUAACUAUUAUGUGAUUAUAAUUUGUGAAUUU